AGGAUAAGCAUUUUCUACCUUGGUGAUAUCUGCAAAAAAUCUGUCUAAAGUCCUCAUUUCAUUUUCAUAGUUGGACAGCAAGUAAGGACACCAUCCUGACAUUAGUUGAGGAUAGUGCUAUAACCUGAAAGGCUCACAUUGAUUUUCAUGUCUCUUUUUUCCAUUUGAUCCCUGGUUUGGCGCUGCUGUGUUUUCCAGGUGUGACGAUUACUUCUUUAUAGCCCAUCGUGGAGAGCGGCGGGGCAUUGGUGGUAUCUUUUUUGAUGAUCUUGACUCUCCAUCCAAGGAGGAGGUGUUUCGCUUUGUACAGAGCUGUGCCAGGGCUGUAGUUCCUUCUUAUAUUCCCCUUGUGAAAAAGCACUGUGAUGACUCAUUCACCCCCCAGGAGAAGCUGUGGCAGCAGCUCAGAAGAGGACGGUAUGUAGAAUUUAAUCUGCUGUAUGAUCGGGGCACAAAGUUUGGCCUCUUCACUCCAGGAUCCAGAAUUGAAAGUAUCUUGAUGUCUUUACCUCUAACUGCCC
rnacentral:sRNA from 1 species